rnacentral:rRNA from 1 species
GAGAGUGGCGCACGGGUGCGUAACACGUAUGUAACCUACCUUGAUCAGGGGGAUAGCCUCUCGAAAGAGAGAUUAAGACCGCAUAACAUUAUGAUAUGGCAUCGUAUUAUAAUCAAAUAUUUAUAGGAUCAAGAUGGGCAUGCGCAACAUUAGCUAGUUGGUGUGGUAACGGCAUACCAAGGCGACGAUGUUUAGGGGAUCUGAGAGGAUGACCCCCCACACUGGUACUGAGACACGGACCAGACUCCUACGGGAGGCAGCAGUAAGGAAUAUUGGUCAAUGGACGGAAGUCUGAACCAGCCAUGCCGCGUGCAGGAAGACGGCCCUACGGGUUGUAAACUGCUUUUGCAGGGGAAUAAACCUUCUUUCGUGAAAGAAGUUGAAUGUACCUUGAGAAUAAGGAUCGGCUAACUCCGUGCCAGCAGCCGCGGUAAUACGGAGGAUCCAAGCGUUAUCCGGAUUUAUUGGGUUUAAAGGGUGCGUAGGCGGCUUUUUAAGUCAGGGGUGAAAGACGGUAGCUCAACUAUCGCAGUGCCCUUGAUACUGAAGAGCUUGAAUGUACUUGAGGUAGGCGGAAUGUGACAAGUAGCGGUGAAAUGCAUAGAUAUGUCACAGAACACCAAUUGCGAAGGCAGCUUACUAAAGUAUGAUUGACGCUGAGGCACGAAAGCGUGGG